rnacentral:lncRNA from 1 species
GGAGGCGGGAACUCGGGCUCCGGUUCCCGGAUGGAGGUCAAAGGUGGUGCUCUUGGAGCUGACGCCUGCGGGCAGAAGGCGGGCAGGGGCUGUCGGGAGCAUGCGCACGGAGCAGAGCCCAGCAGCCCCGCGAAUCGUAGCUCUGGAGAGCUCUCUUGCUGCGUGUCCUUCCUCCCAUGGCGGGUAAUGCUGCUUCGGUUGUUUGUUGCCUGCGGUCCCUCUGCUUGGCCUGUUUGCUCCCGACGUGCACGUGGCUCACUCCUCCCUGCCUUCGAGCUGUUGCUCGCAGCACAGGUUCUCAAGGAGGCUUUAUCUGACCUUGCUAUUUCAUUGCACAGCCCGUAUGCCCACCCUUGCCAUCCACGCCCCGCUCCUGGUUUAUUUUUCUUUUGUUCAAACCACUCUUCACUUUCUAAGAUUCUCUGGAGCAGCCACACAUGGAUCAGCUCUCUUUUUAUCUAAGCAGCUACUGAGCUUCUAGAGUAUGCUGGCUCUUCUCAGUGUCCGAGUUUGGUGAGACAGAAACCAGUCCCUUGGGCAACCCCCUGAAAAGCUGGAAUGUUAGUAGAUGCUCCAAAUCUUUCCCGCCAUAGGCAGAAUUUCAGAGUUGGAGAUUUCAUCUUGCUUAUUCCAUGCUGAGCUGGGAGGAGGAACUAUGAUAAAACAUCAGAGAUCAGAAAUUAAGAAGAUAAAGUGUUAAAAUGAGAAAUCAAAAAUCAAGCAAACAAAAACCAUCUGCAAAGUGAAGACUCAUCCUUGAAAUCUGUAGAACUGUGAUGGCCAAUGAUAAUCAGACCCUCUCCUAUUUGAUUUUCAAGCACUUCACUUCUUAAAUUACAUUGUCAUAAGUUCUGCCUUGGAAUACCUUUUUUAAUCAUGAUUGAUUUUUACUUUGAGUUUUUUAAAGUAAAUUUUCUUGCUUUUGUUUUUGUUUUUUACAAACAAUGUGUCAGAAUCUGCUAGAAUUACCUGGAUCAUAUAAUCUUAGCCAAUUGAGCUUAGUUUUGUUUAUUUUUGUUUUGUUACAGUGCACUAUAAAUUUUAUUUGGCAACGAUUUUAAUGUUAUGUUUUGGGAAAAUAAUUGAAACAAAUAAUAUUUUCUACUUUCCUCCUCCAUUUAUUUUAUACUUUUUAUUUCAAAUACCUCUACUUUAUUGGGGUUUUUUUGGUA